GAUGAAGAACGCAGCGAAAUGCGAUAAGUAGUGUGAAUUGCAGAAUUCCGUGAAUCAUCGAAUCUUUGAACGCACAUUGCGCCCCUUGGUAUUCCGAGGGGCAUGCCUGUUCGAGCGUCAUUAUAACCCUUCAAGCUCAGCUUGGUGUUGGGGCCUGCUGUAACUGGUAGCCCUUAAAAUCAGUGGCAGUGCUAUUAGGCUCUAAGCGUAGUAAUUCUUCUCGCUAUAGUGUGUAGUGAGCGCUUGCCAGAACCCCAAACUUUUAUAUGAUUGACCUCGGAUCAGGUAGGGAUACCCGCUGAACUUAAGCAUAUCAAUAAGCGGAGGA
rnacentral:misc_RNA from 1 species